UACGUAGGGGGCGAGCGUUGUCCGGAAUUAUUGGGCGUAAAGAGCUCGUAGGUGGUUCGGUAAGUCGGAUGUGAAAUCUCCAGGCUCAACCUGGAGGGGUCAUUCGAUACUGCCGUGACUAGAGGUCGGUAGGGGAGUGUGGAAUUCCUGGUGGAGCGGUGAAAUGCGCAGAUAUCAGGAGGAACACCCGUAGCGAAGGCGGCACUCUGGGCCGAUACUGACACUGAGGAGCGAAAGCGUGGGGAGCGAACAGG
rnacentral:rRNA from 1 species